rnacentral:rRNA from 1 species
GUCUAUGGCCAUGCCACCCUGAAAAAGCCUGAUGACUGAUCUCAGAAGCUAAGCAGAGUUGGGCCUGGUUAGUACUUGGAUGGGAGACCACCUAGGAAGAUCAGGUUCUGUAGGCA